UGUGUCCUUUAUCUGUCUCGGCUCUGUGUUCAUCUUCAGUUCUAUCUUCACAGCAGUUCAGUCAGUGUACUGUUUGAGUAAAUGAAUUACUCCGGGAUAUUGGUUUGUUCUGACUCAAAAGGGAAGGGGCAGCCACAUUAAAAAAGUUAACAGCUUAAGUCAUUUGUGGAUUAAUGCGUAUUAGAGAUGUGAACCGUUUAAAACGAUUCAGUUUGAUUUGGUGAACUGGUUCACUGAGAAGAACCCGUUAAAUCGAACGAUUGUUUGAACGUGUGGAGCGAAUACUUCAGACGGAUACAUUACUGACGCGUAAAGUGCAGAAGUGGUUGAAGAGGUGCAAACAGAAGUAAAGUUUAUCUUGGAAAUCCCAUGCAGUAUGAGCAAAUUAGGUCCAUUAAACACAAAGCACAAAAUGACCAUCUCUGCAGAUGAUUUUAGUUUCCAAAUAUGUCUAUAUUCUAUACUCAAUCCACAUUCCUUACACUCCUCUUCGUGAACAUUGUGCUUUGUGUGGCGGCUUGUAAUAAUGCAGAAUAUGAAAUUAAUGGAAGGUGUUGCCCAAAGUGUCUUCCAGGAAAGCGAGUUUAUAGACACUGUGAUGAGUUCAACAGCACAACAUGUGAAUCAUGUCACAUCAGGACUUACACUGAUCUUCCUAAUGGAUUUACAGAGUGUCUGCCCUGUUCUGUGUGUGAUACCAGUAAUGGACUGAGAGUAAAGCAGGCAUGUACAGUAACAUCAGACACAGUGUGUGGACCUCUUCCUGGUUAUUACUGUAUAGACUCGCUCUAUAACUGUAAAAGAGCCAAGAAACAUUCAUCCUGCUCACCUGGACUAUACAUCAAGCAAACCGGAACAGAGUUCAGAGAUACAGUGUGUGAUCACUGUCCUGCUGGUUCAUAUUCAGAUGGGACACUCUGCAAAUUACAUACAGACUGUGAAUCUCUAGACAAGACAACAAUCAGUGAAGGAACAGAUACGACUGAUGCUGAGUGCAGAGAUAGAUCAUCUUUACUGACAGUGACUCUGUGUGUGUGUCUGGGAGUGUGUUUGCUGAUAUUUACUGUCAAAGCUGUAAUUAUUGUAAAGAAGAAAAAUGAGAAAAAUAAUUUUAAAAUAGUAAAGUCGGUUGCAACCCAAGAUUUGUAUAAAUGUCAGGCAAAUGUUUCAUAGAUCCCCCAGCAGAUCUUUUAUCUGGUUUACGAGAGCACAGUAAUUGCCCUCAUAAACCAUGUUUACAUUUUAAUACCCAUUUCAGAUAUUUAUAAUUCAUAGAUUCAGUCAUGUUUCAUGGACUUUAUAUGGGACAAGCUGCACUGGAUACAAAGAAGUGUACUGAACCCUCCUAAAGAAGAAAGAGGACUGGUGCAUCUACAAAGUCAAACUUUUAGAAUUGAGUUCAUACAAAGACUUUUAACAGACUCGGAGAUCUCAAACUGGAGUAAUGUACUCUUCUCUACACUGAGAGAAUCUGAAGGACUGCGAUUGGGAAGAGACUCACUGUGGCCAGAUCCUCAGAAGCUGAAACUCUUCAAGAUUCCUGGUUUAUC